CUAUGUCAGUUUUCCAUGAGAAUCCUCUGCCUGUACAAUAAUAAGUCUACAUGUAAACAAACCCAAAGUUGUGGACUGGAGCUUGGGGUCUCAUUUUUCAGUGUGUAGGUUUCUAGUCCCUACCCCUUUCAGUUCAGCCUCCUCACCUUUCUGCUGUCCUGAGUGUGAAGGAUAGCAGAUGUCUAUCCUUCACAUUGAAUCCUCUGAUUCAGUGUCUCCAGAGAAUAAACCUCCCAUCUCUGUUGAGGUAAGGGUGGGCCGCACAGGCUCUAACUGAUUCUCAAACCAACUUUAAACCAGACCUUCUGUUUUCAGCCCUAUCUGCACAACUACCUUCAGAGGCAUCUUGCAUUUUUAAUUUCUGACACUUUUGGAGUUCCUCAAUGCAAGUGGAAGUUGCUUUUUUUGGCUCUCCCCUGAACUUGUAGAGUACAUAGUUUUCAUCUUUAUUCAGUCUUCUAAGUGAAUUUUCUCAUGUCCAUAUUCUCUCUAAUUUUUCCCAAUUUUCUUGCCAUCUCUGGUCAGCUGUUAUCUUCUCUUUUUUUUCUUUUACAGUUUGUAUUUUUUUAAUCUAUGCAUUAUCAUUUUAGAGAAAUAAGGAGAAGCAAAGAUAAGCAUAUACAUUUAAUCCACUGCACUUAACUAGGAGUUUGUAUUUAAUAAUCCACUUUAAUCAGAUGUCUACCUAACAUUUUAUUGAAUCUUUUCUGCCUCCUUGCUUUUCAGGUUUUUUUUUUUUCUAUUCUUGUAUCUACCAUGUAGGCUUGCCUAUUAUCUUCAUUUAGCAUCCUCAGGCAAAGCUAUUUUUUAUCAUUGCCCUUCCAUUGCACUGUGUACAAUGCUGCUCUUGCUGCCUUGAGUACAUAUUGAUGUAGUACAAAUAUGUGGAUGGAUGGCUGUCUUCUGUUUCUCUGGGUGGGGAAUUUUUCUACACCCAGGGUCCAACAUGGGGCCCGCUACUGACUCAUGUUCCUUAAACUUUAUUGAAUGAAAAAAAAAUGCCUCAGAAAAUUUAAUGGGAAACUCAAUGCAAAGACCUGAAUGUCCAUGGGCCAGUCAAGCUAUAUUCAGUAUCAGGAUUUAGAAGCUUCAGAGAUCAUCUAUUUAAACUACUUUGUUUUACAAAUGAGAAAACUAAAGCCUAAAUGAGGAAAAUAAAACUUAUUAUAUGGUAUAUAGCAGGGACUUUAAUUCACAUUUUCUAAGAUCCUCACCCACAGAUAUUUCUUCCACAAUCUAUUUCUUUAAGCAAUGACAUUUUGAUAACCAGAAGUCAGCAUAUUAAUGGCUCUAUUGUAAACAAUACAUUUUGUUUUUGUUACUGAAUCUAAUUACGUUUGUGAAACAUGAUACAGAUAGCUGUGUACAAAACAAACUGAGGUUAGGAAACUUCAGCAAACCAGAUAAAAGGCUGAUGUUGGAAACCAUGUGAAAUGAUAAAGAUCUGAACUAAGAUGGCAUAUGGAGAAAAAUAUUGAUGGGAUAUAUCAAAAAGCAGAAGAGAGAGAUGCAUUAAAUAAUAGGCAGGAUAAGGAGGAUGUUUGUACCAUUUUCAACAAUAGGAUUUGGGCAGGGACUUUAAUUCACGUUUUCUAAGAUACCCACAGAUCUUUCUUCCACACUGUAUUUCUUUAUUUUAAGCAAUGACAUUUCAAUAAGCAGAAUUCAGCAAAUUCAUGGCCAUAUUGUAAACAAUACAUUUUGUUUUUGUUAUUGAAUCUAAUUACAUUUGUGAAAAGUGAUACAGAUAUCUGUGUACAAAACAAACUGGGGUUAGGAGACUUUAGCAAACCAGACAAAUGGCUGCUAGGCUCAUAAAACGUUAGACUUUUCCAUAUCAAGGGAUGAAAAGGAGAUAUGAGGCCAUCACCACUUCCAGGUGUACAAAAUGUUUAACUCUCUGCAAAGGUCAGUCUUUGGUAAAAUGUUACCAGAUUUGGAGUCUCAUUCUGUCACCCAAGCUGGAAUGCAAUGGCAUGAUCAUAGCUCACUGCAGCCUUGAACUCCUGGGCUCAAGCGAUCACCCUGCCCUGGCCUCCAAAAGUGUGAUUACAGGCAUGAGCGACCAUGCCCGGCACUGAUUUCCAGGUUUAGUCAUUAACCACAGAUGUGGGGCUAACUAUGUACCCAGCACUGUGCUAAGUACAUUAUCUGCUUUACUUAGUUUGAUCCUCAUGACAUUCCUAUGAAAUAAACGUAUUGCCCUCAUUUAUACUGAAGAUGUUAAUAAACUUGACAAAAGACAUAAUGCUAAUAAAUAAAGGAGCCUCAGUUUGAAAUCAGCUUUCUUUCUUUCUUUAGUUAGUUAGUUCCUCUUCGUAACAGGAGAAAACUGGGUUUUCAAAAGAAUCAACUGUUAAAUUAGACAAUUGUCUUUUUAAAAUAGUUCAUGUUUUGUGUGGAGCCAGCCAUGAACUAAUCUAGAACAGAGCUGCUCAAUAAAAAUGUAGUGCUGUUAUGUGAGCCACACGUGUAAUUUAAAACUUUCUAGUACCCAUUUUAAAAAAGAAAAAAGAAAUUGGUAAAAUUAAUUUUUCAAAUAUAUUUUACUUGACUCAAUAUGUCCAAAAUAUCAUUUCAACAGCAAACCAAAAAAAAAAAAAAAUUGUUGAGGUCAAUUGUUGGCUCACGCCUGUAAUCCCAGCACUUUGGGAGCCCAAGGCGGGAGGAUCACUUGAGGUGGCUGUCAUCUCAUUGUGCUCACAUAACCUUCUUAGUGCAUGCAUGAGCAGGAGAAAAAGAGAAAGCAAGCUCUCCGGUGUCUCCUCUUACAAAGGCCCUAAUCCCAUUAUGAAAGUCCCACCCUUAUGAUCUCAUCUAACCCUAAUUACCUCCCAAAGGCCUCAUCUUCACAUAUCAUCACAUUGGAGAAAGGGGCUUCAACAUAUUAAUUUAGGGAGACACAAACAUUCAGUUCAUAACACGUCUAGUGUGUUGAAGAAAUAUCCAGAAGGCCAGUGAAGCUAAAGCAGACUUGGUGAAGGAAACAAUGGUAGGACAUGAGAUCAGAGGGUCUGUUAGCUUGAAAUAUUGGGAACUACUGGAAAAGCAUUACCCUUAUUGUAAAUGAGAUGGGAGCCACUGAAGGGUUUUGAACUAAGAGGUAAUAUAAUCUGAAUUAUGAUUUAAAAGGGGCAUUUUAUCUGUUGUAAGGAGCAUAACCUAUAGGGUGCAAGAAUGCAAGAGAUGAUGGUCAUUUGAACCAGAGUGGUAGCAAUAGCAAUGGUGAGAAGCAGUUGGAUUCUGGAUGUAUUUUGAAGGUAAAGCCAACCUAUUGGAAAUUAGAGAGGGAUUAGAUGUACAGUAUAAAAGAGAAAGAAGAGUUAACUGUAGCUUGAGAAACUAGAGUUGUGAAGGGAUGUACUUGUCAUUAUUGAUGUGGGGAAGACUAGGGGAGGAGCAGGAUUAAGAAGGGGGCAGAGAAAAACAGGAGUGUGGUUUUGGACAUGUUAAACUGAAAAUUUGUAUUAGACAUCCAGGUGGAAAUGUCAGGUAGGCAGUUGUACAUAAAAUUCUUGAGGUUAGGGGAAAGGUCAAAGCUGGAAAUAUAUAUAUAUAUAUAUCAGUGUCACCAGCAUAUAGAUCGUAUUUGAGGCUUUGAGCUCUACGAGAUCAUCAAGGAAGUGAGCAUACCUAAAAAAUAGAAGACGGCUAGGUAUGAGCUGACAGGUG
rnacentral:lncRNA from 1 species